UCUGUCAGAGUGCCUUUGGCUGCAAGUAACACAUUAUCAAAUUCAAACUGGCUUAGUCAAUGGAGGAAUUAAUUAUGUCAAAAAGACUACAGGUGCUGGACUCCCGCUGAGGAUGAGUGAUGCAUCAAGGGAAAGAGAAGAACUGUGAGUGGAAAGAUAUUAGCUUUCCUCUCUUUAAAAGGAAUGCUGACAUGGUGCCAGAGCUGUGAGUUCCUGUGCCUGGGCUCAGUUGUCCUGGUGGCGACAGCCUGGAUGAUAGGAGCACGAGUCUCUUGGAAAGAGGCAUCGCAUUUACCUCCACUUACAAGUGAAGAGCCAGGCGGUGAGAGGGAAGUGAUGAGCCAAGGCCACAAAGCCAGGGAGCAAGAGAGCUUGGGUCUGGAGUGAAGCAGUCUGGUUUCCAAGUUGGAGCUCCCAGCCCUCCACCGUGCUGCCCAGGCCUGGAGGGAACCCUUGUGUGCUGAGCACAUUUUCUGAACUGAAAAGCUAGGAGGAGGAGGUCUGAUGUGUUGACUGUUCAUUGUGGUGGUCUUUAGGGUCCUGUGUUUAAGAUGGGGUCUGUCCUGGACUUUGUGGUCUGUCUGGUCCACAGAGAGGCUGGCAAUGGGGAACAAGUCUGUCCUAAAGGUACGCAGUGCUUCCAGCGUGUGGGGCCCUGGUGUUUAUCUAGGAAUGUAGCUAAUGACCUUGGAGGUGCUUGCCAAGAUUCCCAGGCUAGUGAGGACAGAGCAAGAGGUCAGGGAGGAUAGACAUGUUGGAUCUUGCAUCCCAGGAUGCUUUGCCAAGUGGUCCCAUGCCCCUGGCCAUGAGCAGGCACCAGGGUGAUGGCAGAUGAGUGAGGACAGGGGGAUAAAGCUGUGUUCCCAGGCAGGAACCACUUUGGCCUAUAUUCCAUCUUGGGUUGUGGGAUAGCUCAGUCACCCCCGUGCCAGGCUCCUUGCAGAGAGAGGAUGUGAAUCCAGAUCACGCAGCCCUGGCGGUGCCAGCUGACGCCACCAUGCCCCACUUGUGCUGGAUUGCAGUUUCGGGAUGACUCAUAGAUGGCUUUCCACAUGUCUCAGCUCCGGUGUGAUUCUCGAGUACCCAGGCUGCAGGGGAAGAACAGAGCCAACUCGUUCUGGAUGGAUUCAGAUGGGGAGUGAUCGGGGAUGGCUCCAGAAAGGCGGUUUCCAGGUUGAGAUAAAGAAGACUUAGGGGCAUCUGGGUGGCCCAAUCAGUCAAGCAGCUGCCUUCAGCUCACAUCAUGAUCCCAGAGUGCUGGGAUGGAGCCCUACAUCGGACUUCCUGCUCCCCAGAGAGCUUGCUUCUCCCUCUGC